CCUGCACACUGCACGCAAACUACACGAGCCGAGAAGCCGAACAAAGCCCAGACACGCGCAACCAACACAACACAACACAGCAGCCAGCAACCUCCACCUCCGUCUCCGUCCCCCGCCGCGGCCGCCGUCCUCCGCCGCGCGAGGCCGGGCUAGCUUACCCCCCCCCUCCGCUGCCGCGGCAACCGAAGCACCCCCACCCCCGACGACGAAGGCAGCAGCGCCUCGGGAGGCAGCGGGAAAGGCAGCAGCGUCGCGUCAGCAGCAGCGGCCGGGAGGUGAUCGCUUUCCCGCACUACUGCCCCCCCGGCCUCCGCGUUCGGAGGGGGAUAGGCCGCGCGGGAAGAGGCGUAAGCAGCAGCAGCGGCGGCGGCGGCGUGAGUACAUUUCGUGGCUUGCUUUAUACUAAGAGGGGUCGGGUUGGAGGGUUACUCUACUAGGAGAUUUUGUUGAGAUUCUACGUUGUGUUCCAAUUAUAUUUACAUGGCAUAUCUUUGCUAAGAGAUGCCGUCCUCUACACCCACAUCAGUGCAACCAGCACCAACUGUGCAACCAUUACCAUCAUCCACAGUAGGACAGAGAACUCGUAUUGACCUUCGUGAGAUAAAGUCAAACAUUAUUAAGAGGAUUGGUCCAGGGCGAGCAAAUAAGUACUUUCAGCAUCUAGAGAGGUUCUUAUCAUCGAAGUUGAACAAAAAUGAAUUUGAUAAGCUCUGCCUCGUGUCACUUGGCCGUGAAAACCUCCCAUUGCACAAUCACCUCAUCCGUUCUAUCCUCCACAAUGCAUGCCGUGCAAAUGGUCCACCAGCAGUUGAUGUGCCUAAGCUGACAGGAGAUGUUACUAAUUCAGAACAUUCGCUUCCUCUUGUUUGGAACAAUGGUAGUGUUUCAAACCAGCAUGUCAGAGACAAUAUAUCAUUGACCCUUGAGCAGGAGGGAAAAACUGUUGUUAGGGAAAAUGGUGUUCCAAAUUCUAGUGAUCUGAAGAGACGCCAACAGGUUCAGAAUGGUGAGCAUGCUGAGUCACGUUCCAAGCGAUCGCAUUUUGAAAAGGUGCCACCACAUUUUCAUGAGCCCCCCCACAGCAAUGACCCUUCUGCUAUAUCAUAUGGUGAAAGCUUGGGAAGUGAAAAUAUACACCGUAUUCAAGGUCCAGUGCGAGCUCCACUGGGGAUUAAAUUUUCCCCUGUUAGUUUUGGUGGGAUUCAGAAACCCUCUUCUGUCCCUUCAAAUGAUAGCUCUGUUAGUUGCUAUGAACUUGGUGAGUUAUGUGAUACUAUGCCACUGAGUAAGAGGAUGGAAAAAAUUGCAGAAGCAGCAGGUUUGGAAGGGGUCUCAGUUGAAUGUGCUAAUCUGUUGAAUAAUGGAGUUGAUGUUUUCUUAAAGCAGUUGAUUGGAUCUUGUGUGCAGCUAGUUGGAACAAGAUCACAGCUUGGGAAACUAAACCAUGCAUCACUAAAGCAGCAGUUGUCCCGUAAGCUAAUAAAUGGUAUAUCACUGAAAAAUCAUGUGCACGGACAGGGUAUCAUUGUUCCCGCGGGCCCUAACUCAAUCUCGAUACAAGACUUAAAAACUGUGUCAGAGCUAAGUCCACAUCUUCUUGGGGUUAAUGCAUCAUUUGUACAUGAGAAGAUUAAUUCAUAUGACUGAUUGGAUGGAGCAAGUUGGACCUUUUGCCCUUUCAAGAUUGUAUGGACUUGAUGGUGUGCCUUCAUGAUUUAUUUAUCCAGGUCCUUAUUGCUGAGUGGUGGAAAAUACAGGUGAACUUUGUACAGUAUGCUGACAUGCUGCUGUCUCGUCUUCAGGGCAACCUGUCGGACUAAGCAAGAUCUGCUUAUCUACCGGAGCCUGUACUAUUUAGAGUAGGACCAAUCCAUUGUGUGCCUAUACUCAACAGUAACGAGGCAUUAGUGCUUCAUACAGAACUAUGGUACUCGACACCAAACAAAUUGAAGAGCCAUGACACAGAAUUCUCUGAAAUACCUCAUGCUAUGUGGAAUGUCUGUACACAUGCCCUCUGCCUGUUUUGAACUUUUGAUGUACAACGUAUAAGGACUGAAAGUCAGGAUCCACGAUUUCUUCUCUCCAGGAUGUUCUCUGCAAACAACAGGAAGACAUGAUUCAACAAAACUCGGUUGAUAUUUCUCUGCGAUUCCCUAUGAGAACAACGAUUUUGCUCUUCUCCUGACCUGUGUUCACCGUCAGAAAGGUACAACAACAGAUGGCACCAUCUAAGUACAUUUCGUGGCUUGCUUUAUACUAAGAGGGGUCGGGUUGGAGGGUUACUCUACUAGGAGAUUUUGUUGAGAUUCUACGUUGUGUUCCAAUUAUAUUUACAUGGCAUAUCUUGGCUAAGAGAUGCCGUCCUCUACACCAACAUCAGUGCAACCAGCACCAUCAUCCACGGCGGGAGACAGAGCACUCGUAUUGACCUUCGUGAGAUAAAUCAAACAUUAUUAAGAGGAUUGGUCCAGGGCGAGCAAAUAAGUACUUUCAGCAUCUAGAGAGGUUCUUAUCAUCGAAGCUGAACAAAAUGAAUUUGAUAAGCUCUGCCUCGUGUCACUUGGCCGUGAGAACCUCCCAUUGCACAAUCACCACAAUGCAUGCCGUGCAAAUGAUCCACCAGCAGUUGAUGUACCUAAGCUGACAGGAGAUGUUACUAAUUCAGAACAUUCGCUUCCUCCUGUUUGGAACAAUGGUAGUGUUUCAAACCAGCAUGUCAGAGAAUAUAUCAUUGACCAUUGAGCAGGAGGGAAAAACUGUUAUUAGGGAAAAUGGUGUUCCAAAUUCUAGUGAUCUGAAGAUACACCGUAUUCACGGUCCAGUGCGAGCUCCACUGGGGAUUAAAUUUUCCCCUCUUAGUUUUGGUGGGAUUCCGAAACCCUUGGCCAUUGUUUCUGUCCCUUCAAAUGAUAGCUCUGUCAGUUGUUAUGAACUAGGCAAGUUAGGUGAUACUAUGCCACUGAGUAAGAGGAUGAAAAAAAUUGCAGAAGCAGCAGGUCUCAAUUGAAUGUGCUAAUCUGUUGAAUAAUGGAGUUGAUGUUUUCUUAAAGCAGUUGAUUGGAUCCUGUGUGCAGCUAGUUGGAAGAUCACAGCUUGGGAAACUAAGCCAUGCAUCACUAUACUCAACAGUAUAGUGUUUCAUACAGAACUAUGGUACUCGACACCAAACAAAUUGAAGACACAGAAUUCUCUGAUGUUCUUUGCAAACAACAGGAAGACAUGAUUCAGCAAAACUCGGUUGAUAUUUCUCUGCAAUUCCCUAUGGUGAAGAACGAUUUUGUUCGUAAUUGUCAUUUACUGGCAAAUUGCCCCAUCGUGAAGCAACAUUCAUACAUAGAAGAAACACAACAAGCCACUCCGAUGGCUGUUCCAUAUUGAAAGAUAUGAUGCAUCCAUAGCUUUUUUACGAUCAGUGUAACAUGUUUAUAUUGCACGUUGGUUCUGUCAAGUUUUUCCUGCAAAUAUCUGAAAACAUCCAUGAUUGUGUACCUCCUGCAAAUAUCUGAAAACAUCCAUGAUUGUGUACCUCUUUUAACUGUUAGGAUUCCGGAAACUGUAAAUAUUUGUUUAUAAAGUGGUAACCGGUGACAA